rnacentral:rRNA from 1 species
UACGUAGGGGGUGAGCGUUGUCCGGAGUUACUGGGCGUAAAGCGCUUGUAGGCGGUCCACCAAGUUUGGGGUGACAGUUGCCGACUUAAUCGGCAAAGUGCCUCAAAGACUGGCGGACUUGAGGGCCACAGAGGGACAUGGAACUCCAGGUGUAGUGGUGAAAUGCGUAGAUAUCUGGAAGAACACCAAAGGCGAAGGCAGUGUCCUGGGUGGUCGCUGACGCUGAGAGGCGAAAGCCAGGGGAGCGAACGGG